rnacentral:ncRNA from 1 species
AAAUGGAUCAAUGGAACAAGUUAUCCUAGGCAUAACAAUCUAGUUUAGAGUUCAUACUGAUAAUAGGGUUUAUAACCUUGAUGUUGGAUCAGCACAUACCCAUGGUGUAACUGCUACUAUUAGAUGUUCAUUUGUUCAGUGAUUAAAGUCCUACAUGAUCUGAGUUCAGACUGGAGCAAUCCAGGUUGGUUU